rnacentral:rRNA from 1 species
AGACGAACCGUCCAAACGUUAUUCGGAAUUAUUGGGCUUAAAGGGUGCGUAGGCGGUGCGGUAAGUCGGGUGUGAAAUCCCUCAGCUCAACUGAGGGACUGCGCUCGAUACUGCCGUGCUUGAGGAAGAUAGAGGUCAGCGGAACUGAUGGUGGAGCGGUGAAAUGCGUUGAUAUCAUCAGGAACACCAGUGGCGAAAGCGGCUGACUGGAUCUUUUCUGACGCUGAGGCACGAAAGCUAGGGGAGCGAACGGGAUUAGAUACCCCGGUAGUCCUAGCUGUAAACGAUGAGCACUUGAUCGAAGACUCCUCCAUAGGUUUUCGGUCGUAGCGAAAGUGUUAAGUGCUCCGCCUGGGGAGUAUGGUCGCAAGGCUGAA